rnacentral:tRNA from 1 species
GUCUUGCUAGCUCAGUUGGUAGAGCAACUGACUCUUACUCAGUGGGUCCAGGGUUCGAGUCCCUGGCGGGACACCA